rnacentral:rRNA from 1 species
GAUGAACGCUGGCGGCGUGCUUAACACAUGCAAGUCGAACGAAGCAUUUGCGACAGAUUUUUUCGGAAUGAAGUUGCUUAUGACUGAGUGGCGGACGGGUGAGUAACGCGUGGGUAACCUGCCUUGUACUGGGGGAUAGCAGCUGGAAACGGCUGGUAAUACCGCAUAAGCGCACAAUGUUGCAUGACAUGGUGUGAAAAACUCCGGUGGUAUACGAUGGACCCGCGUCUGAUUAGCUAGUUGGUGAGAUAACAGCCCACCAAGGCGACGAUCAGUAGCCGACCUGAGAGGGUGACCGGCCACAUUGGGACUGAGACACGGCCCAGACUCCUACGGGAGGCAGCAGUGGGGAAUAUUGCACAAUGGAGGAAACUCUGAUGCAGCGACGCCGCGUGAGUGAAGAAGUAAUUCGUUAUGUAAAGCUCUAUCAGCAGGGAAGAUAGUGACGGUACCUGACUAAGAAGCUCCGGCUAAAUACGUG